CCCGGGUUUCUAAAGGGUCUGAAGGGCGAGAGGAUGGGCGGCGGGUGAGUUGUGGCAAGAGAAUAAGGGAGGAUCCGCCGGAGAGGUUGCCCGGGCACGGUGUGGGUGUCUGCAACGGGGUCAAGUGUGCUGGGGCGCCGCACGUCUGCGCCGGAAGAGCGAGCGCGUAAAGCGAGCUGGAGCUUCCAGCCAAACACAACCCAGAGUCCCCGUCUCCACCCCCACCCCAGCUAAUGAUGGCUGCACCCCCAAGCUGGAACCUGCCUCUGCAAAAUCAGCCCUCAGCCUCUCAGCUUCAGGGUUAGCAGAUGUGAUUCCUCCCCACUUCCCCCACUCCAGCCCAGUCUCUAAGCCUUCAGACUAAGUGGGGUUCCACUCAGAGAAGUGUUUACUUAUUUUUGAGAGAGAGAGAGCGCAGAGAGAGG